rnacentral:rRNA from 1 species
CAAGUCGAACGCGAAAGUGGAGCAAUCCAUGAGUAGAGUGGCAAACGGGUGAGUAACACGUGGGUGACCUGCCUUCGAGCGGGGGAUAACGUCCCGAAAGGGACGCUAAUACCGCAUGACAUCCUGCUUUUUAAGAGGUGGAGAUCAAAGCUGGGGAUCGCAAGACCUAGCACUCGAAGAGGGGCCCGCGCCUGAUUAGCUAGUUGGUGAGGUAAUGGCUCACCAAGGCAACGAUCAGUAUCCGGCCUGAGAGGGCGGACGGACACACUGGGACUGAGACACGGCCCAGACUCCUACGGGAGGCAGCAGUGGGGAAUUGUUCGCAAUGGGCGCAAGCCUGACGACGCAACGCCGCGUGGAGGAUGAAGACCUUCGGGUCGUAAACUCCUUUCGAUCGAGACGAACGGCUCCCGUGCUAAUCAGCGGGAGAGUGACGGUACCGAGAGAAGAAGCCCCGGCUAACUCCGUGCCAGCAGCCGCGGUAAUACGGGGGGGGCAAGCGUUGUUCGGAAUUACUGGGCGUAAAGGGCUCGUAGGUGGCCAACUCAGUCAGACGUGAAAUCCCUCGGCUUAACCGGGGAACUGCGUCUGAUACUGGAUGGCUUGAGGUUGGGAGAGGGAUGCGGAAUUCCAGGUGUAGCGGUGAAAUGCGUAGAUAUCUGGAGGAACACCGGUGGCGAAGGCGGCAUCCUGGACCAAUUCUGACACUGAGGAGCGAAAGCCAGGGGAGCAAACGGGAUUAGAUACCCCGGUAGUCCUGGCCCUAAACGAUGAAUGCUUGGUGUGGCGGGUAUCGAUCCCUGCCGUGCCGAAAGCUAA